AAAUUUUAAUAAAUUCAAAUUCAAAUUCAAAUUCAACAAAAUAUAAGAUGGUAUAGAUUUCUUCUAAGUGUUUUCAUUUGGAAUUUUGGGUUGCAGAUGUUGCCACUGCAAAAGAUCUCAAGAUUUAUUGUAAGGGAUACCCAAAGGAAGCCUGCACAAAGGAGUACAAUCCGCACUGUGCCUCUGAUGGAAAAACCUAUGAUAAUCAGUGUUUCUUCUGCAAUGCAUAUAUUCACAGUGCUAGAACUCUUCAGCUGAAAUACCUUGGAAAAUGCAAGUAAUGUGAAGACGUAGAAGAAGAUUGGCUAAAAGUAUUUGAUUCCUUCAAAUACAGAAACAUCACUGUAGAUUGUAGAUUUGUAGAUUUUCUUAAUAUUUGUAGGCCGCCCUUUUCCCUGAGGGGACUCAGGGCGGCUC